UUUUCUCAGGGAAUAAGUACUGAAGGUACCUGAGGAAUCAGCAUCGGCUAACUCCGUGCCAGCAGCCGCGGUAAUACGGAGGAUGCAAGCGUUUUCGGAAAUGAUUGGGCGUAAAGCGUCCGCAGGUGGUUUUUCAAGUCUGCUGUCAAAGAGUUUGGCUCAACCAAAUAAAGGCAGUGGAAACUGAGAGACUGGAGUAUGGUAGGGGUAGAGGGAAUUCCUGGUGUAGCGGUGAAAUGCGUAGAGAUCAGGAAGAACACCGGUGGCGAAAGCGCUCUGCUGGACCAUAACUGACACUGAGGGACGAAAGCUAGGGGAGCGAAUGGGAUUAGAUACCCCAGUAGUCCUAGCCGUAAACGAUGGAUACUAGGCGUUGCCCGUAUCGACCCGGGCAGUGUCGUAGCCAACGCGUUAAGUAUCCCGCCUGGGGAGUACGCACGCAAGUGUGAAACUCAAAGGAAUUGACGGGGGCCCGCACAAGCGGUGGAGUAUGUGGUUUAAUUCGAUGCAACGCGAAGAACCUUACCAGGGCUUGACAUGUCCGGAAUCUCUUGGAAACGAGAGAGUGCCUACGGGAGCCGGAACACAGGUGGUGCAUGGCUGUCGUCAGCUCGUGUCGUGAGAUGUUGGGUUAAGUCCCGCAACGAGCGCAACCCUCGUUCUUAGUUGCCAGCACUUCGGGUGGGCACUCUAGGGAGACUGCCGGUGACAAACCGGAGGAAGGUGGGGAUGACGUCAAGUCAGCAUGCCCCUUACGUCCUGGGCUACACACGUACUACAAUGCUGUGGACAAAGGGCAGCAAGCUAGCAAUAGCAAGCAAAUCCCAUAAACCACGGCUCAGUUCAGAUCGCAGGCUGCAACUCGCCUGCGUGAAGGAGGAAUCGCUAGUAAUUGCAGGUCAGCAUACUGCAGUGAAUUCGUUCCCGGGCCUUGUACACACCGCCCGUCACACCAUGGAAGCUGGUCACGCCCGAAGUCGUUACCCUAACCUUUCGAGGAGGGGGACGCCGAAGGUAGGACUGGUGACUGGGGUGAAGU
rnacentral:rRNA from 1 species